GCUGCUGUCACUGACUGAGCAGCCGAUCUUCUGCGAUGGGCACAACUCCAGCUGUCCACCCUCCUUGUCAGCUCUCUGCAGCAUCUCCUUCAGGGCGGCCAUGGAGGAUUUCCCUGUCUUAGGUUUCACCCAUCUUCUUAUCAAUUCCACCCAGGCUCCCCCUGUACUUCCCGAAGAGAAGCGUAACCAAGCAGGAGUGAAACUGAAUUCCACUUUUGGACUAUACUCGAUAUUUUACGGAUGCUGGAUCAUUUUUAAGACUCUUCUUUUUUCAAAUUAAUACCAUGUUUCAUUUUCUGUCCAUUUCAAAAUCAACAUGAAUUAUGAACUACUUUCUGAGUGGUUUUGUUAUCCACCGCAUGGCUGCCACAGGACCCCCUUUUUUGUUUUUUACAACUACCUAAACACUGACAGCAAGAAGACUCCCUCAUGAGGCUCAACAUGAAAUUUCAUUUCAUUUAAACAAGUUUUUCAUUCUUUCUUAAUAUUUUUGCCCUGACAUUGGAAAAGAACACAAUCUAACAAGCUACCCUUAAAAUAUUACAUAAUUAAUCAUUAAUAUUUAGGUAGAAAAGAAUAAAAUGGCACAUUUAAAUGUUUGUGCUCUGAAAAUGUGGACAUUACUUGGAAGAUAUGACUAUGGUACUUUUAUACAAUUAAAUUUCUUACACCAUGUCAUUUUUUCUGUUUCUGCAAAGAUUGUGUCCACCUUACUUAUUGUGUUAUUUUUCAUCUUUGAUGUUAUUGUAAAAAAUAUACAUACCAGACCCUUGUAAUAAAUUUCGUCGGUUCUCCUAA